UACCUGCAGCUCAAGUGGUGACCGUUAUUAUUGGGCCUAAAACGUCCGUAGCCGGUUUAUUAAAUGCCUGGGUAAAUCGGGCCGCUUAACGGUUCGAAUUCCGGGUAGACUGAUAAACUUGGGACCGGGAGAAGCUAGAGGUACUCCUGGGGUAGAGGUGAAAUUCUGUAAUCCUAGGGGGACCACCAGUGGCGAAGGCGUCUAGCUAGAACGGGUCUGACGGUGAGGGACGAAGCCCUGGGGCGCAAACCGGGAUUAGAUACCCGGGUAGUCCAGGGUGUAAACGCUGCUUGCUUGAUGUUAGUCGGGCUCCGAGCCCCGAUUAGUGUCGGAGAGAAGUUGUUAAGCAAGCUGCCUGGGAAGUACGCCCGCAAGACUGAAACUUAAAGGAAUUGGCGGGGAGCACAGCAACGGGUGGAGCGUGCGGUUU
rnacentral:rRNA from 1 species